AAUCCUUGAGAUGAUAUACAUAAGUAAGUUUUCUAUCAUGAGAAUUCAAUACGAUCUAAUUCUAAGAUACCUCAAUUAAGUCUAGAGGUUUAUAGAGCUAUUUAUAUUUAUAGACUUUUAAAAUUAUUCAAAUCACCUUUUUGAUUAAUUGAUAAAUUUAUUUAUUUAUUUAUUUUCAUGUUGUAGUGAUUGUGUUCAUAUUAGAAGUACCAGCGGGCUACGUAUUAUAUAUUUUAGAUCAACUACAACGACGACUAGGACUACCACCACUACCACCAGUAGAACUAUAUGGGCUAUUUGGCAGAGAAAAUUUACAUACUCCUCCAAUCAAUUUACUGACGUACAUGACCC